GAUCCUGGCUCAGAACGAACGCUGGCGGCAGGCUAACACAUGCAAGUCGAGCGCGCCCUUCGGGGUGAGCGGCGGACGGGUUAGUAACGCGUGGGAACAUACCUUUCGGUAAGGAAUAGCCACUGGAAACGGUGAGUAAUACCUUAUACGCCCUUCGGGGGAAAGAUUUAUCGCCGAGAGAUUGGCCCGCGUUAGAUUAGAUAGUUGGUGGGGUAAUGGCCUACCAAGUCUACGAUCUAUAGCUGGUUUUAGAGGAUGAUCAGCAACACUGGGACUGAGACACGGCCCAGACUCCUACGGGAGGCAGCAGUGGGGAAUCUUGGACAAUGGGCGCAAGCCUGAUCCAGCCAUGCCGCGUGAGUGAUGAAGGCCUUAGGGUCGUAAAGCUCUUUCGCCAGGGAUGAUAAUGACAGUACCUGGUAAAGAAACCCCGGCUAACUCCGUGCCAGCAGCCGCGGUAAUACGGAGGGGGUUAGCGUUGUUCGGAAUUACUGGGCGUAAAGCGCGCGUAGGCGGAUUAUUAAGUUAGAGGUGAAAUCCCAGGGCUCAACCCUGGAACUGCCUUUAAUACUGGUAGUCUAGAGUUCGAGAGAGGUGAGUGGAAUUCCGAGUGUAGAGGUGAAAUUCGUAGAUAUUCGGAGGAACACCAGUGGCGAAGGCGGCUCACUGGCUCGAUACUGACGCUGAGGUGCGAAAGCGUGGGGAGCAA
rnacentral:rRNA from 1 species